GUCCUACGGGGGGCAGCAGUGGGGAAUUUUGCGCAAUGGGCGAAAGCCUGACGCAGCGACGCCGCGUGAGUGAUGAAGGCCUUCGGGUUGUAAAGCUCUGUCGAGGGGGAAGAUAAUGACGGUACCCCUCAAGAAAGCCCCGGCUAACUACGUGCCAGCAGCCGCGGUAAGACGUAGGGGGCGAGCGUUGUCCGGAAUUACUGGGCGUAAAGGGCGUGUAGGCGGCGUAUUAAGUCAGCUGUGAAAUCCCCCGGCUCAACUGGGGGCCUGCAGUUGAAACUAGUGAGCUUGAGUGCAGGAGAGGAAGGUGGAAUUCCCAGUGUAGCGGUGAAAUGCGUAGAUAUUGGGAGGAACACCGGUGGCGAAGGCGGCCUUCUGGCCUGUAACUGACGCUGAGGCGCGAAAGCUAGGGGAGCAAACAGGAUUAGAUACCCCGGUAGUCCA
rnacentral:rRNA from 1 species